rnacentral:rRNA from 1 species
UACGAAGGGGCUAGCGUUGCUCGGAAUUACUGGGCGUAAAGGGAGCGUAGGCGGAUAGUUUAGUCAGAGGUGAAAAGCCCAGGGCUCAACCCUGGAAUUGCCUUUGAUACUGGCUAUCUUGAGUGUGGAAGGAAGGUUAGCGGAACUCCGAGUGUAGAGGUGAAAUUCGUAGAUAUUCGGAAGAACACCAGUGGCGAAGGCGGCUAACUGGCCCAUU